GGUAUAGACAAUAGCUCAGUGGUCGAGUGUAUGCUUCGCAUACAUAAGGUCCUGGGUUCAAUCCCUGAGCACUUGCUGCCA